rnacentral:tRNA from 1 species
ACUACUUUAGUACAAAACAAUACAUGUGGCUUCCAACCACACAAUCUUAUAUCUAAUAAGAAGUAGUA